rnacentral:rRNA from 1 species
UGGGGAAUAUUGCACAAUGGAGGAAACUCUGAUGCAGCGACGCCGCGUGAGUGAAGAAGUAAUUCGUUAUGUAAAGCUCUAUCAGCAGGGAAGAUAGUGACGGUACCUGACUAAGAAGCUCCGGCUAAAUACGUGCCAGCAGCCGCGGUAAUACGUAUGGAGCAAGCGUUAUCCGGAUUUACUGGGUGUAAAGGGAGUGUAGGUGGCAUCACAAGUCAGAAGUGAAAGCCCGGGGCUCAACCCCGGGACUGCUUUUGAAAUUGUGGAGCUAGAGUGCAGGAGGGGCAAGUGGAAUUCCUAGUGUAGCGGUGAAAUGCGUAGAUAUUAGGAGGAACACCAGUGGCGAAGGCGGCUUGCUGGACUGUAACUGACACUGAGGCUCGAAAGCGUGGGGAGCAAACAGGAUUAGAUACCCUGGUAGUCCCUGAGACGCCAAGGCACACAGGGGGA